ACAGCCUCAGGCCAGUGGGUAUUUCCAUGCUCUCUAUAUGACUUGCCCUAAAAUGAAGAAGGCACUGAAUUAUUUGCAAUGGCUUCAGAAAACUUGAGGGACCUUCAACAGAAGUCUACAAGGAAGGUUAAGGAGUGGAUACUUGCUGGAUCAAUGCUGUUAUCAAUGAUGUGUAGGCACAGAACCCAGAAAGCAUGCUACGUCUGCAUCACAGCUGCCUAAUUAAAACAUACAAGCAUUAAAUUGUGGCUACACCUUUUCUUGCAUCUAUUACUGAUAUUUGCACCUAUCCAUAUUCCUUCCUUCUGUGCAACCUUGAGGAUCAGAAGCCAAACACAUAUCCCUGAUGAGAAGAAGCACAGAAUGGUCACCAGAGCUGAGCGUUAAAUAAUGAGGAAAUGUUCCAGAUUACAUCUUUUGGACAUAACCUGUACAAUUUUCUCCAAGCUGACUUCCCAACUUGUCUUGAUGGCAGUAGUCAGGAACUUCCUCUUCAUCCCCAUGUGGACAUUCCUUCUACUUCCACAUAAUAGGAUUAGAUUCUGUAGUUGCUUAGAGUUACGCAAAAGCUCUGAGUUGGAAGAAGCAGAUCAGUCUGACAGCCCCAGCAUUCUCCUUCCUUCUUCUGCCUCACACUCUGCUGUUGAGUCCUUAAAUCACCAGAUGAGAAGGAAAGCAGGGAGACCUCCAGCUGCAAUCUGCAACAAUUAUGAAGCAAGAAAUCCAGGGAGAACAGCAGAGAGCAAGAAAAGGAAUCUCCCAGUUGUUGUAGCUGAUCAAGUGAGAUUCACAAUUAAAAUACCCUCAAAGUGCAAUGGACAGGUGGGCUGGGAUGCUGAGAGGAGAGCUGAGGACUGUGUGUUCUGCAGUUAACAGUUUGAAGGGAUAUUGGUUUAAAACAAACAAACAAAAAAGGCACAAUGUUACUGUUGGUGCUGCUUGCUUUGAAGUUAACAAUGCAAAAUAAAGGUAGCCCACAUAAAACCCUUCUCUGUAUC
rnacentral:lncRNA from 1 species